AGUGAACGCUGGCGGUAGGCCUAACACAUGCAAGUCGAACGGCAGCACAGUAAGAGCUUGCUCUUACGGGUGGCGAGUGGCGGACGGGUGAGGAAUACAUCGGAAUCUACUUUUUCGUGGGGGAUAACGUAGGGAAACUUACGCUAAUACCGCAUACGACCUACGGGUGAAAGCAGGGGAUCUUCGGACCUUGCGCGAUUGAAUGAGCCGAUGUCGGAUUAGCUAGUUGGCGGGGUAAAGGCCCACCAAGGCGACGAUCCGUAGCUGGUCUGAGAGGAUGGUCGGCCGCACUAGAACUGAGACGCGGUCCAGACUCCUACGGGAGGCAGCAGUGGGGAAUAUUGGACAAUGGGCGCAAGCCUGAUCCAGCCAUACCGCGUGGGUGAAGAAGGCCUUCGGGUUGUAAAGCCCUUUUGUUGGGAAAGAAAAGCAGCAGGUUAAGACCCCGCUGUUCUGACGGUACCCAAAGAAUAAGCACCGGCUAACUUCGUG
rnacentral:rRNA from 1 species